rnacentral:rRNA from 1 species
UGGGGAAUAUUGCACAAUGGGGGAAACCCUGAUGCAGCGACGCCGCGUGAACGAAGAAGGUAUUCGUAUCGUAAAGUUCUGUCCUAUGGGAAGAUAAUGACAGUACCAUAGAAGAAAGCUCCGGCUAAAUACGUGCCAGCAGCCGCGGUAAUACGUAUGGAGCGAGCGUUGUCCGGAAUUAUUGGGCGUAAAGGGUACGCAGGCGGUUUAAUAAGUCGAAUGUUAAAGAUCGGGGCUCAACCCCGCAAAGCAUUGGAAACUGAUAAACUUGAGUAGUGGAGAGGAAAGUGGAAUUCCUAGUGUAGUGGUGAAAUACGUAGAUAUUAGGAGGAAUACCAGUAGCGAAGGCGACUUUCUGGACACAAACUGACGCUGAGGUACGAGAGCGUGGGGAGCAAACAGG